rnacentral:rRNA from 1 species
UGAGUAAUGCCUAGGAAUCUGCCUGGUAGUGGGGGACAACGUCUCGAAAGGGACGCUAAUACCGCAUACGUCCUACGGGAGAAAGCAGGGGACCUUCGGGCCUUGCGCUAUCAGAUGAGCCUAGGUCGGAUUAGCUAGUUGGUGAGGUAAUGGCUCACCAAGGCGACGAUCCGUAACUGGUCUGAGAGGAUGAUCAGUCACACUGGAACUGAGACACGGUCCAGACUCCUACGGGAGGCAGCAGUGGGGAAUAUUGGACAAUGGGCGAAAGCCUGAUCCAGCCAUGCCGCGUGUGUGAAGAAGGUCUUCGGAUUGUAAAGCACUUUAAGUUGGGAGGAAGGGUUGUAGAUUAAUACUCUGCAAUUUUGACGUUACCGACAGAAUAAGCACCGGCUAACUCUGUGCCAGCAGCCGCGGUAAUACAGAGGGUGCAAGCGUUAAUCGGAAUUACUGGGCGUAAA